GGAGGACCGGAACCAGGAAAGGAAGAAUCCCUAGGAUGAAAAAUCCAGAGUUAAAAGUGCUGCUGCCCCUGGGAGUGUCAGAGUGAUGGAAUCCGGUGAAAUAAAAGUUGCUCCAUCGUCCUGUUUCCAGCAGGGAGUUUCA
rnacentral:lncRNA from 1 species